rnacentral:rRNA from 1 species
GACGAACGCUGGCGGCGUGCUUAACACAUGCAAGUCGAACGGAAAGGCCCUGCUUGCAGGGUACUCGAGUGGCGAACGGGUGAGUAACACGUGGGUGAUCUGCCCUGCACUUCGGGAUAAGCCUGGGAAACUGGGUCUAAUACCGGAUAGGAGCCAUUUUUAGUGUGAUGGUUGGAAAGUUUUUUCGGUGUAGGAUGAGCUCGCGGCCUAUCAGCUUGUUGGUGGGGUAAUGGCCUACCAAGGCGGCGACGGGUAGCCGGCCUGAGAGGGUGGACGGCCACAUUGGGACUGAGAUACGGCCCAGACUCCUACGGGAGGCAGCAGGGGGGAAUAUUGCACAAUGGGCGGAAGCCUGAUGCAGCGACGCCGGGUGGGGGAUGACGGCCUUCGGGUUGUAAACCCCUUUCGCCAGGGACGAAGCUUUUUUGACGGGAACCGAUAAAAAAGGACCGGCUAAAUAAGGG